rnacentral:rRNA from 1 species
GACGAACGCUGGCGGCGUGCUUAACACAUGCAAGUCGAACGGAAAGGCCCUGCUCUUGCGGGGUGCUCGAGUGGCGAACGGGUGAGUAACACGUGAGUAACCUGCCCUUGACUUUGGGAUAACUUCAGGAAACUGGGACUAAUACCGGAUAGGAGCUCCUGCUGCAUGGUGGGGGUUGGAAAGUUUCGGCGGUUGGGGAUGGACUCGCGGCUUAUCAGCUUGUUGGUGAGGUAGUGGCUUACCAAGGCUUUGACGGGUAGCCGGCCUGAGAGGGUGACCGGCCACAUUGGGACUGAGAUACGGCCCAGACUCCUACGGGAGGCAGCAGUGGGGAAUAUUGCACAGUAGGCGGAAGCCUGAUGCGACAACGCCGCGUGCGGGAUGACGGCCUUCGAGUUGUAAACCGCUUUCGCCUGUGACGAAGCGUGAGUGACGGUAAUGAGUAAAGAAGCCCCGGCUAACUACGUG